rnacentral:tRNA from 1 species
GCGCCCGUAGCUCAGCUGGAUAGAGCAACGGCCUUCUAAGCCGUAGGUCAUAGGUUCGAAUCCUAUCGGGCGUACCA